rnacentral:rRNA from 1 species
CGUGGGUAACCUGCCCAAGAGAUCGGGAUAACACCUGGAAACAGAUGCUAAUACCGGAUAACAACAGAUGAUGCCUAUCAACUGUUUAAAAGAUGGUUCUGCUAUCACUCUUGGAUGGACCUGCGGUGCAUUAGCUAGUUGGUAGGGUAACGGCCUACCAAGGCGAUGAUGCAUAGCCAGUUGAGAGACUGAUCGGCCACAUUGGGACUGAGACACGGCCCAAACUCCUACGGGAGGCAGCAGGG